rnacentral:rRNA from 1 species
GGGUUGUGAGGUUAAGCGACUAAGCGUACACGGUGGAUGCCCUGGCAGUCAGAGGCGAUGAAGGACGUGCUAAUCUGCGAUAAGCGUCGGUAAGGUGAUAUGAACCGUUAUAACCGGCGAUUUCCGAAUGGGGAAACCCAGUGUGUUUCGACACACUAUCAUUAACUGAAUCCAUAGGUUAAUGAGGCGAACCGGGGGAACUGAAACAUCUAAGUACCCCGAGGAAAAGAAAUCAACCGAGAUUCCCCCAGUAGCGGCGAGCGAACGGGGAGGAGCCCAGAGCCUGAAUCAGUGUGUGUGUUAGUGGAAGCGUCUGGAAAGGCGCGCGAUACAGGGUGACAGCCCCGUACACAAAAAUGCACAUACUGUGAGCUCGAUGAGUAGGGCGGGACACGUGGUAUCCUGUCUGAAUAUGGGGGGACCAUCCUCCAAGGCUAAAUACUCCUGACUGACCGAUAGUGAACCAGUACCGUGAG